rnacentral:rRNA from 1 species
CCUACGAGAGGCAGCAGUGGGGAAUAUUGCACAAUGGGCGAAAGCCUGAUGCAGCAACGCCGCGUGAGCGAUGAAGGCCUUCGGGUCGUAAAGCUCUGUUCUCAAGGAAGAAAAUGACGGGACGUGAGGAGGAAGCCCCGGCUAACUACGUGCCAGCAGCCGCGGUAAUAAGUAGGGGGCUAGCGUUAUACGGAAUUACUGGGCGUAAAGGGUGCGUAGGUGGUUUCUUAAGUCAGAGGUGAAAGGCUACGGCUCAACCGUAGUAAGCCUUUGAAACUGGUGAACUUGAGUUGAGGAGAGGAGAGUGGAAUUCCUAGUGUAGCGGUGAAAUGCGUAGAUAUUAGGCGGAACACCAGUUGCGAAGGCGGCUCUCUGGCCUGUAACUGACGCUGAGGCACGAAAGCGUGGGGAGCAAACAGGAUUAGAUACCCCGGUAGUC